GGGCGCGGGGCUGCCGCCGGCGGGGGCGGGGGACGUCUGCUUCCCGCUUGGCCCCUCCGGGAGGGGGAAGGAAAAAAAGGAAAAAGAAAACUGGAGGAUUUAAAAAAGAAAAGGGGCCGAAGGCGCAGCCCCUGCUUGCGGGCACCCCAGGCUGAGGGUUAUUUUCGGGGUGCGAGAGCCUCCCGCUUUUCUGUUGGCUGUGGGAGAGGGUCUACGUUUGCUUUGGGUCUUUUUCUUUCUUUUUUCCUCUGGAAAUGGGGAAUUGCACGGCGAUCCGCGGGAGCGCAGAAAGAGAAAGGGAGGGGAGGAGGAGGGAAAGGGAGAGAAGGUUGCACGGGGAGCUGCAGCCUACAGGUUGCAGGGGUUGGGGAGUGGGAUGGGACCGCACACACGCACACGCACACACGCACCCAAAGGGAUGGGAGGAGGCAGGUUGGGAAGGGAGCAAAGUUCCUUGAAACACAGCGUCCUGCUCUUAUGGCAUCAAAGCAGUCAGGAGGGGGAAAGAAAAGAAAAGAGAAAAGAAAAGCGCAGGAGAAGGAAGAGGGGAUGCAAAGCUCCCCUUCCCUCCCCCUUCUUCUGCAGGAGGAGGAGAAGUCUCUCCCGACGCAGCGAGCUGCUGGGAAGCGUGGUAUGAAGCAAAGUGGUGUUUCGAUCGGCUCUGUUCAACCCUCUCGCUUUCCUCUUCCAAGUAUCACAGUCAAAAGGUGACUGAGGCACAAAGUAGGACUGGAGUUGGCUGAAAAGUGCUCCCAGCUGAAGGGCAGAAAACACCUGCAUCUAAUAAAAACAAACGAGAAACAUCAUCAAUAACCAGAAGAAAAAAUGGCAUAAAUAAAAGGAAAAGUACAAAUUCAGAUGGUCUCUGGGAAACUCGAACAAAUGCCCCAGCCUGCUGUCUUCUGGAGUUAAGGCCUUGUUGCCAGUGGGUGGAGUGGUGAGAUCUACAUUGCAUCUACUAUGGCUAAGGAGAAGACCAGCAUUUCCAGGACUGUCAACUGAACCUCCUUCACACUACAGACACAACUUUAUAAAUACAAAAAGAAAAAGAAAAAAUUGAACUGUGAUCUUUCUGGAAUGGAGAUGUAUCCAAAAGAACUGUGCUUUGGGUUGUACAGCCUUCCCAAGGAGUCAGAACAAAUAUCCAGACUUCAACACGAGACCAAGCAGAGUUGCUCAGUCCCUGUGGAGAUGAGAUAUAGAACUGGAGAAUAUAAACAGAUGUGGAGACAUUUUGAUGCAUUUCUGAAAAAACAAAUGACAUUUUGCUGCUAUAUUUUAGAGUUCAGUCCAGCCCCCUUAUCAAGAAUAUGAUGCAAAAAACAAUAGUCACUUCAUUUUCAUUUCUCAGUCUGUCUGGAGAGCAAAAGGCACAGUCAUCUAGUAGAUGAGGUAACAUCAGAGCCUAACAACUGUUGAGAAAGUCUUGUAGAGUUUAAAAUGCUGAAGAAAAAGGGAAGAAUCAUUAAGAAACUAUAAAUCUGAAGGAAAUCAAUAUGAUAGUCUAAGAUCUUGAAAUAGCAUAGCAUGUAUUUUUAUUUAUUAUUGCAGGCAGGUUGAUUAGUACCUGAGGGAGAUUCUCAGAAUCACAAAGCAUGGGCUGGAAGGGACCGCUGGAGAUCAUCUACAAGCCAGCACAAUGCAUCUAACCCAAUACAGACUAAAAGAUUCCACAGAAACAAGGAACUAUAGGGUACUGGAGCAGAAAUGCUAAGUCACAGCUUGAACCAGUGAUUGAGCACCUGGUGGGAAGGCAGGGCCAACCCAGGGGAGCUCAGGUGCAUGCAAUGAGGAUCUGCCCGAUCCUGGCUCCACCCCUUCCCAGACCUCAUUUAAGGACUGGCAGUAGGGGCAAGAGCAUCUCACUGGAGAUCCCUGCCUAGUAGAGGCCUUCUAAAGAUACAAAAGGUUAAACUCCAUCUUCCUAGUCUUGUCCCCCUUCUUCUGUACGGGAGAGCCAUCCUGUGAAAGAAGUAAGACUGCAGCAGUGAAAGUUUAGGGUAUUUUCUACAUCUCUGGAGCUGACUUCUGCGGGCAGAUGAAGGACGUGCAGACAGCGAGAGUGUCUGUAGCUCACGGUUUUGAAAUGGCAAGGCAUGCUGUUCAAGGAUAUCUUUACCAAUUUUAACUAACCAGCGUGGCCUGCUCAGGCCAGUAUUAUGGACAGCAACAAACAAGAGGACACUUUGUCUCAUCAGUCUCAUGGAUAUAACUUUCUGCUUACAGCUGUAUUUGGCUAAGACCUGUACGUGGUUAUGGACUUUGACUCAGUGGCUGGGCUUGGAUGGGAGCCUUCUGGCUUACAAUCCUAUGCUCCAACCAUCUAAUCUCUCAGCCCAAAGGAAACUAUGGUGUCCCUGUGGACUCUUAGUAAGACACCACAGCUUUGUUGAGUGCUUAGCUUUUGAUGGGGGUAUUUGAAGGCUUCACAGAUGGCAUUCAGUGACUCUGUUCCCCCUUUCUACCUGGAGGCUGCCAAAGGAUGGCAGCAAAGAGACAGAUGUUAGAGGGAUGUCAGGGUGUGAAUAAAGGGGCACGUGCAACAGGAAAAGCGCUGCAAUAGCUGUUGCUGUGAAGGAAAAGCAUUCCAUACUGGAAAGCCAGCUAUAUGGAAUGCAGUCUUUUCUGCAGUUUGGUGCUGAUAAAAAUGCUGCACUGGCAUUUCUGCAAUAUGAUACUCCAAAGCAAGAAUAUGGUUUGUUAUUACAUCUGUGGCCAGCAGGACUUCGUGGUGGUGGAGGAGACAUCCUCAGCUAUGGCUGAAUGUUUAGUUUCCAUGCCCCUUCUGUCCUAGGAUGGCAGUCAGCAAUAAUUACUUCAGUGGUUUCUACCCUACAAUUCUUAGCCUCUAAGGACUAUACACGGAUCCAGAAACUCGUUCCAUGCAAGCCCUUUCUAACAGGAUGAUGACUUCUAGUUUCUGCUGGACUUGAUCUAGAUUCGCAUGGGAAAGCUAGAGAAGAAAUGACAGUUUGCUGGAGCAGCCUGUGCCAGGCCAGAUUUCUGUAACGAGCCAUCUGCAUUUGGAAACAACCCUGAGCUGACAGAGAAAGAAACAUAAUAAUCAAUCUGAGGCAUAUGAUGUAAUAAUCUACCAGCCACAAGAUCUAGAUAGGAGAGGAAAAUUGAUCAGUAAUGACAACUGUUAUUUACAGGAGUGUUAAGACUACCACCUGGAACGCCAGAAGAUGGGCAGUGUCCUUUAAUUCUGUUGCAAAUUUCUGACACCUAAGCAUGCUUUUCUGCAGGACAAGAGAAGGGGCAAUUGCACUUAUUUGUCUUGUUUAACAGAACUCCUGUUUCUGACAUAAUCUUUACACUUGCUUCUCUAGUUAAGUCUCUUUUUUUUUCUUCUUCUUUUCUUUCCCUGGUGUUUGCAUGAACUCGGUGAACCCUCAUCACGUGUGGCAGUGUUUAUAUUUGCACAGGCUGUUCUGUGUGUCUCUGUUUGUGUUGCCACCACAUCUACAUGGUUUGGCAGCAGCCCCACGGCUGUGUUUCAGCUGCAUAUAAAUCAGCUUCGCUCCAUCCCCCUGUGUUUCCAUCUGUCUGUCUUCCUUGAUUGCUCUGAAAUGUUACAGGGCAUGGAGGUUAGCCCAUGGCUGAACCCUUCAGAGAGAAAUGGUGCAAAACCAAACCUGAGUUUCUCCUCCUCAAAUCUAACUCCACAACCUUUGGAGGUGUGGGGUGUUAAUGUUUUUGCAGUGACAAACCUCAAAGCGGGGACUAACCUUUGCUUCUGUAGUUUUCAGGUCUGUUUCUCCCAAAACACUUGUAUAGAAGCUCUAAGGUCACCUCUGUGUUGUGGAGCUAAUCCUUCCUUAGCUUUUCAUUAUGUGAAGAUCUCCCUUUACUCGCACAAAUUUAACUUCUGCUCUGUCAUUAAUUAUUACCUCCAAUUUGAUUGCUUCACAUCUCAUUAGUUCAUUUAUUUCUCUGGAGAAGGAGGUGUGAAAUGGGAAUGACUGGAAGCAUGGGGAACUGCAGGCACGUGAUCAGAGAAUGGGAUGUUAGGCAGAAAUCACAGACCUUGAUACUCUCCUUGCACAGAGAUGUUUCUCUAGGAGUCUCCUCCCAGACUGAGUUCAUAAUGGGGUUAAUCACAUAUGAGUUUGAUUGAAUUGCUGUGAGCCCUGGAGAUAAACUUCUAGCUCAGAGUGUUUGUGCGAUUUACUCUUGGCCAUGUCUCUUCUCUUGCAGAAUAGAUGCCCCAGGGGAACAGAAGAUCGAGCAUGCUGCCCUUUGGCCAUUGGCACUAAUUUGCCAAUUCAGUAGAGAUGACAAAAGACGAAGUGGGGAGUCCACGCCCAUCUCAGGUAAAAGAAUUGCCUGUUUCAAGAAAACUGGGAAACACUGAUAGGACAAAAUAAAUGGGAGAAGAACAAGACUCCUAUGUCAUCUUGUGGACUUCAGACACAGCGACAGAUCAAACGUAGUUAUGGUGAGAAAACAUUGAUAUUCUGCCUUCUCCUUGAGCAUAAAGCAGACAACAAACACCUCUCUUUAACCUGUAAAUGCUAGUAGGGCUUUGUAUGGAUGCUCUAGGUCUGUUGGAAUUUUCUUCCUUCUAAAACGAGUCUCAGAGUCACUGUAGACUAAGAAAAAGAGCAGAUUAAUCGAAUCGGCCUCCCGAACCACCCAGAUUGUACUUCACAAAGGAUUCUGUGUGUUCUUAGCAAGGUCAAUUGACUAAGUAGUCAUCUGUGAGUGUGGAUUCUUGUCUCUUUCUAACCUUCUCUCAAAUUAGGAGAUAUCUGGGCUUGGUGCUCUAUUCUGCCAGUUGCUCUGGCUUCAAAUUUUGAAUUUUUUUAAAAAAUUACACAGUUGAGUCUAAUGUUCAAUUUCAGUGGUUUCCAGGGGAUUAUUUGUAGUGCCUAUUCUGCUAUACAGAGAAAUCUUUCUUUAAAAACACGAUCCAUCUUUCUAGUAGUACUUCAUUUAGAAAUUCAGAGUGGGCAGAUAGCCCUGAGAUAUGGAUAUCCUCUUCUUUUGCCUUCUAUCUGAAAAAGGGGGAAAAAAAAUCUAGUAUUUUUUUCAGUAUUGCUGAUGUCCCAGACACGUCUGAGUAACUGUCAUGUACAAUCAGUAUCUAUCCAUGGGAAUCUCAUAGAACCAGGGUGGUUUUAAUGUUCACCAGAAUAUUUCUGUGAGAGUUCCUAGGAUGCCAGGGAAAGCACUGACUGACCACAGAAAACAGAUAUGAGACAAGUGCAUGAUGACUUUUUUUUUUUAAGGAAAAAAGUAUUAAGGAUCCAACUGAGAACUACACUGACACAACUAUAUUUACUUUUGGUCACUGUUAAGUCUGUGUUUUCCAGCCUGUUAACUCCACGAGAAUAAGACAUAGCUGCAGUAUGGAGCUGAGUCAGUUUGGAUUCAGCAUUUAAAGAAAGAAUGGAAGAGAAGCAACCAGGUGUCAAAAGAUGUAAGUAGGUUAGAUCACAAUGAGGAGAUAGCCUUCCCAUCUGCUGGGAACUCCUUUGCAAGGUAAGACUGUUAGAUAUACAAGUCCCUGGCUGGGACUGGUGAAGAGGAUGUAAGCAUGGAAACUAACAGAGCUCUACUAUGAUCAAGUAGGGGAUGAGGGCAGCAUUCCCUAUAAAAAGGAUCCUGAGGUCCCUGCUGAGGUGCCAAGGUUGAAUAUUUUGCCAGAGGUGGAAACUGAAUUGAUUUGUGCCCCUCAGGCUAGCUCCAGGAACCUCACUCCUGCCUGAGAGCAUUAGUCCACAUGUGGAGAGAGGCUUUUCAGCUGGAGACGAGUUUAUGGCUUUUGACUUUUUCAUGUUCAUGUGUUUUUAUAAAGCCACAAUCGUUUUGUUUUUUUUUAUUGGGCUUUUAUAGAAAGGUCUCUGAAGUCUAGCAAAAUCUCAGCUUAACAGUAGAGAUUGUGCUAGAGAGACAUAUAAGAAGUAAGAGAAAAUAAGAAGGCCAUGGGAGAGAUGGGUAAAUACAGAAGUGCAAGCAGAGUUCUGUCAAAGCAAGUUUCUGACUUACACAUUUAACUUUAUCCGUCAGCCUAGGGGCAAGUCUACAGCAUGAUUAACCUCCUAGAUCUCACUUGUUCCAGGUCCAAGCAUUAUCUGGCCAGAGUGCAUUGCCAAUCCACCAUGCCAGCCAUCCCACCAGAGGCAUCUUGAUGUCAGCAUUGAUGUGACCCAGAAAUGAGGGGAGAGUGACGGGAAUUCACUGUGCUGGGGAAUUCAGUGCUGCAGAUAGUGAAACACCUUCCAAACCAGAAGAGGUUGCUCUGUGUUCCAAUAUUACUGAUGGUAAAGGAAAUGUUGUGUGAAAUGUUCUGGUCAGCCAAGGAAGUGGACCAUGCAGCAUGGGAUGGCAGCCCCUUCGUGAUCCCCGAGGCUUUGGUGCUGGGAUCAGCACAAGGAAGGACGCCAGAGGAAAAAGUCAGGUUCAGGUUGGAAACGUAUUGCUCAGAGGAAGCAGAUGGAAGAAGAGGUGUCUCUGACUUUGAAUCAGCUUCUGUAUGAUCAUGGCUUAAUGAUCAUAAAUCCUCUGGGGCCUGCAACCUAACAAGGGAAUAAAGGAGGAAGCGCCGUCUCUCUCAGAUCAAAGUAAAGAGAAAAGCUGAGAUGUAAAGGAGACGAAAUGAGCUACAGGCGGAACAAUAUGGAAACCCACUGCUGGGAAACCGUUUUUCCGAGCCAGAGAGGAGGCAGGGAAUUGUUCUGUGCAACCAUUCAGGAGCCUCCGCUCCCACGCAUUCUCCCGCUUGCUGACACCCUGCCAGGACCGCAAAGGAGGAAUUGAUUUACAUGCAGCUCUGUACAAAAUGGAAUGGAAAGCUGGCCUUCCUACAGACAUAUUUUCCCCGCUAUUUUCCAGCUCUAAGUGAAGGUUUGGGUCAGAUGUUACCUUGGAUUGCAUGGGAAUGUCACUAAGCAACGUGGUCUUGAAUACUGCUGAACUCUCCUUUUUGCUGCUCCUCACGUCAAGUCUAGUUGUGUUGAAGAUGAGAAGUUACAUCUCUCUGCAAACUAAAAUAAUCCCCCAUUAGUAUUUGUCACCUGCAAGGCUUGGAAUGGGAGGCAUGGUGAUUCAGUGAAACUUAUUGUUCAGUACAGCUCAUAUAUAGUGUACUGCAUAGGUAUAGUGUUUCCAAUUAGAGGUCCAAUAGUAAAAGAAGAUUCAUGGACAAUCUCAGCUAUUAGCAGAAAAAUGCUGGCCCCAAAAUGUUGAGGGCACUGGCCCAGAGAGAGACAGACAUCUCCAGGCUGCCUCUGUUCCACCAAGUUCUUUAACCACAUGUCUUUCAUUAAGAAGCCCUUAAGGUAAGUUUGGCAACUGACAAAUGGAGGCCAUGGAGUUCUUCACAAAAGAUUAUACUUUCUACAGCCAUUUGCAAUGACACCUGCACUGUGCCAUUUCACUGUCCUUGGGCUUGGCAUAUAUUGCAGUGUAGUCUCCUUCAGCACAGGCCAAUUCAUGGUGGAGAGGUGAAGGAGCAGAAAGGGAACAACAGCAACAACAAAAUCUUACAACCUCAACAACAGAAGCCUCAAACCAACCAAGAAAACAGCUGUAUGUCCAGAGACUGCUGGUCCUUCCUCAGAUGAAGGACCUGUUUUCAUACCUGGCUCUGUCUCGUGUCCCAGACUCAAACUCACAUCACCUCCGAGGCUGAAAGACUGGUUCCUUAUUCUGAAGCUUGAGUCUCCUGGUCUUUGGUAAUAUUUUCAUGCCUUUCUAAGGUGUCUGCUUUAAUGAAUAAGGAAAUAAGAUGACAGACUGACUCCACAGGCUAGGAGAUUGGUUACCACUUACCUCAUAGCAACUGUCCAGACAGAAUGAGAAGAAAUGAAGAGACCCAGAUUGCCUUCCUAAACAAAUGUGGGAGGGAUCAGGCUGCGGUGGUGAUUAGCUCGCUGGCUGUUUCUCUUGACUGUUCUGCUUCAAAUAGAAGAGAGAGUUGCAUGAGGAAUCUGAAGACAGACGAGCCAUGGAAGAUAGAGGUUCCCAAAGGACACGUGAACUGAGACUGCGUUGAUUCAUAAAUCUUCAGGAGAUUUGCCACCCCUGAACUCAAACCUCUACUAUUCUGUUGAUCCAUACUACAGUAUGGAAGUCCAACUGGCUAGUUGUCUUAUGGGUCUUUGUACUUCCAUCUAUUGCUCCCUCACCAUCACCACUGAAACACACUUCACGGCAACUACCAAAUGAAGAUGACAAAUGUUACCACAUGA